rnacentral:rRNA from 1 species
ACCCGCUGAACUUAAGCAUAUCAAUAAGCGGAGGAAAAGAAACCAACAGGGAUUGCCCUAGUAACGGCGAGUGAAGCGGCAACAGCUCAAAUUUGAAACCUGGCGCAAGCCCGAGUUGUAAUUUGUAGAGGAUGCUUCUGGGCAGCGGCCGGUCUAAGUUCCUUGGAACAGGACGUCACAGAGGGUGAGAAUCCCGUAUGUGAUCGGUUGGCACCCGCUACGUAGCUCCUUCGACGAGUCGAGUUGUUUGGGAAUGCAGCUCUAAAUGGGAGGUGAAUGCCUUCUAAAGCUAAAUACCGGCCAGAGACCGAUAGCGCACAAGUAGAGUGAUCGAAAGAUGAAAAGCACUUUGGAAAGAGAGUUAAAAAGCACGUGAAAUUGUUGAAAGGGAAGCGCAUGCAACCAGACUUGUCCGCGGUGUUCCGCCGGUCUUCUGACCGGUCUACUCGCCGCGGGCAGGCCAGCAUCAUCUGGGAGCGCCGGAUAAAGGUAGCGGGAAUGUGGCCCCUCGGGGUGUUAUAGCUCGCUACACAAUACGGCGCCUCCCGGGUGAGGUCCGCGCUUCGGCUAGGAUGCUGGCGUAAUGGUUGUAUGCGGCCCGUCUUGAAACACGGACCAAGGAGUCUACCAUCUAUGCGAGUGUUCGGGUGUCAAACCCCUACGCGCAAUGAAAGUGAACGGAGGUGGGAACCGCAAGGUGCACCAUCGACCGAUCCUGAUGUCUUCGGAUGGAUUUGAGUAAGAGCAUAGCUGGUGGGACCCGAAAGAUGGUGAACUAUGCCUGAAUAGGGUGAAGCCAGAGGAAACUCUGGUGGAGGCUCGCAGCGGUUCUGACGUGCAAAUCGAUCGUCAAAUUUGGGUAUAGGGGCGAAAGACUAAUCGAACCAUCUAGUAGCUGGUUCCUGCCGAAGUUUCCCUCAGG